CCUUGGCAGACUCUCGGUCUUUCCCAAUCUCUUUCUGCCAGCUAGUCAGAGCUCCAGAAAGGUUGUCACUUUUCCUAAUAAAGGGGGCCCAUUUCUUCCUUUAGUCUCCCUUUUGUUCACUCCCCUCUGCUCCUUUUCUUUUUUUAAAACCGUGAUCAAAGUUAUGAUGACUGGAGCUGCAGCAGCCAUCUUGUGAUCAAGAAAGAGAGCCAAGACAAUCAUAAAACUUCCAGCUCUUGUCUCUGAGACUGCAGACCUAACACCAGUGGCUGAUCUCCAGACUUCCUGUUAGGUGUGCUGGAGUUUGCUGGAGGUCCACUCCAGAUCCUUUUUGCCUGGGUAUCACAAGUAGAAGCUGCAGAACAGCAAAGAUUGCCACCUGCUCCUUCCUCUGGAAGCUCCAUCCCAGAGGGGCACCCACCUGAUGCCGGCCAGAUCGCUCCUGUAUGAGCUAUGAGUGGAAGAAGUCUGAGGGUCUCAUCAGAAGCAGAUGCUGAUGUCAUGCUUUUUGUACAGCCUGCAGAACUGUGAGCCAAAUAAACUUAUUUAUUUCUUUUACAAAUUACCCAGCCUCAAGUAUCCCUUUAUAGCAACACAAAAAUGGACUAAGACCCAGUGGGUAAAAAGAGUGGUACUAUAUUCACAUGGACAUUGAUCACAGGAAUAUAGGCAGAUGUUGGCCACGUGACUCUGACUACAUUAGAAAGCAAGCUGCA
rnacentral:lncRNA from 1 species